rnacentral:rRNA from 1 species
GACGAACGCUGGCGGCGUGCUUAACACAUGCAAGUCGAACGGUGAAGGGACUGGUUUUGCUGGUCCUGGAUGAGUGGCGAACGGGUGAGUAACACGUGAGUAACCUGCCCCCUUCUUCUGGAUAACCGCAUGAAAGUGUGGCUAAUACGGGAUAUUCUGGGUCUGUCGCAUGGUGGGCCUGGGAAAGAUUGCGCCUUUUUUGGUGUUUUUGGUGGGGGAUGGGCUCGCGGCCUAUCAGCUUGUUGGUGGGGUGAUGGCCUACCAAGGCGGUGACGGGUAGCCGGCCUGAGAGGGUGGACGGUCACACUGGGACUGAGACACGGCCCAGACUCCUACGGGAGGCAGCAGUGGGGAAUAUUGCACAAUGGGCGCAAGCCUGAUGCAGCGACGCCGCGUGAGGGAUGGAGGCCUUCGGGUUGUGAACCUCUUUCGCCAGUGAAGCAGGCCUGCCUCUUUGUGUGGGUGGGUUGACGGUAGCUGGAGAAGAAGCGCCGGCUAACUACGUG